AAAACUUUCAACAACGGAUCUCUUGGUUCUGGCAUCGAUGAAAAACGCAGCAAAAUGCGAUAAGUAAUGUGAAUUGCAAAAUUCAGUGAAUCAUCGAAUCUUUGAACGCACAUUGCGCCCGCUGGUAUUCCGGCGGGCAUGCCUGUUCGAGCGUCAUUU
rnacentral:rRNA from 1 species